rnacentral:rRNA from 1 species
UUGACCUCAAAUCAGGUAGGACUACCCGCUGAACUUAAGCAUAUCAAUAAGCGGAGGAAAAGAAACUAACAAGGAUUCCCCUAGUAACUGCGAGUGAAGCGGGAAAAGCUCAAAUUUAAAAUCUGGCGGUCUCCGGCCGUCCGAGUUGUAAUCUAGAGAAGUGUUAUCCGCGCUGGACCGUGUACAAGUCUCCUGGAAUGGAGCGUCAUAGAGGGUGAGAAUCCCGUCUUUGACACGGACUGCCAGGGCUUUGUGAUGCGCUCUCAAAGAGUCGAGUUGUUUGGGAAUGCAGCUCAAAAUGGGUGGUAAAUUCCAUCUAAAGCUAAAUAUUGGCGAGAGACCGAUAGCGAACAAGUACCGUGAGGGAAAGAUGAAAAGAACUUUGGAAAGAGAGUUAAACAGUACGUGAAAUUGCUGAAAGGGAAACGCUUGAAGUCAGUCGCGUUGGCCGGGGAUCAACCUUGCUUUUGCUGGGCGUACUUUCCGGUUGACGGGUCAGCAUCAAUUUUGACCGUUGGAUAAAGUCUAGGGGAAUGUGGCAUCUUCGGAUGUGUUAUAGCCCUUGGUCGCAUACAACGGUUGGGAUUGAGGAACUCAGCACGCCGCAAGGCCGGGUACUUGUACCACGUUCGUGCUUAGGAUGCUGGCAUAAUGGCUUUAAUCGACCCGUC